UACGUAGGGGGCAAGCGUUGUCCGGAAUUAUUGGGCGUAAAGCGCGUGUAGGCGGCCAGAUAAGUCCGCUGUGAAAUCUCGAGGCUCAACUUCGAGCUGUUGGUGGAAACUGUCUGGCUAGAGUCCGGAAGAGGAGAAUGGAAUUCCUGGUGUAGCGGUGAAAUGCGCAGAUAUCAGGAAGAACACCCGUGGCGAAGGCGGUUCUCUGGGACGGUACUGACGCUGAGACGCGAAAGCGUGGGGAGCGAACAGG
rnacentral:rRNA from 1 species